rnacentral:rRNA from 1 species
UNUGACUUGAGUGCAGAAGGGGAGAGUGGAAUUCCAUGUGUAGCGGUGAAAUGCGUAGAUAUAUGGAGGAACACCAGUGGCGAAAGCGGCUCUCUGGUCUGUCACUGACGCUGAGGCUNGAAAGCGUGGGUAGCGAACAGGAUUAGAUACCCUGGUAGUNCACGCCGUAAACGAUGAGUGCUAGGUGUUAGGCCCUUUCCGGGGCUUAGUGCCGGAGCUAACGCAAUAAGCACUCCGCCUGGGGAGUACGACCGCAAGGUUGAAACUCAAAGGAAUUGACGGGGGCCCGCACAAGCGGUGGAGCAUGUGGUUUAAUUCAAAGCAACGCGAAGAACCUUACCAGGUCUUGACAUCCCGAUGCUAUUCUUAGAGAUAGGAAGUUACUUCGGUACAUCGGAGACAGGUGGUGCAUGGUUGUCGUCAGCUCGUGUCGUGAGAUGUUGGGUAAGUCCCGCAACGAGCGCAACCCUUAUUGUUAGUUGCCAUCAUUAAGUUGGGCACCCUAGCGAGACUGCCGGUAAUAAACCGGAGGAAGGUGGGGAUGACGUCAAAUCAUCAUGCCCCUUAUGACCUGGGCUACACACGUGCUACAAUGGUCGGUACAACGAGUUGCGAGCCGGUGACGGCAAGCUAAUCUCUGAAAGCCGAUCUCAGUUCGGAUUGGAGGCUGCAACUCGCCUCCAUGAAGUCGGAAUCGCUAGUAAUCGCGGAUCAGCACGCCGCGGUGAAUACGUUCCCGGGCCUUGUACACA